ensembl:lncRNA
AAAAGGUGCAGGGACGUUAAGAGGAGAGAGAGCAGUUAGAGUACAAAAGUACAAGAGCUUUAGGCUAAGAAAGACCAUUAUUUUAAGAAUUAUUGCUCUUGUCUAAAGGUUAGAACUAGGAUAGGGUUGAAUGAAGUGGAGAGCAGAGAAAGAGCAGGACCUGAAUCAGACAAGCAGUGGGACACGGUCCUAAAAUCCCAUCCUUCAGUGGCUGCAGCAUGCUGCGAAGGGAAUACCAAGCUGUGUGAACAAUGCCCAGGGUCCAGGGUCAGCUCAGCCAGGCUUUCAGAGGAGUCCAUGCUGGAGAAGAAGAACAUAGAGCCCGCCAACACUGAGGAUGCGUUCCACUGGGCAGUUAGUGACUUUUAAUGUUAUAGGGGCGCGGAACCUGGAGCCUAUCCCAGGAAGCAUGGGGCACAAGGCGGGGUACACCCUGGACAGGGUGCCAAUCCAUUGCAGGGCAUACACUACAAACAUUUUGGACAUGCCAAUCAACCUACCAUGCAUGUCUUUGGACUGGGGGAGGAAACCAGAGUAUCCGGAGGAAACCCCCACAGCAUGGGGAGAACAUGCAAACUCCGCACACACAGGGCAGCAGUGGGAAUCGAACCCCCAACCCUGGAGGUGUGAGGCAGUCCUCAUGAAUGAAACACAUAAAAGGUCAAAUUGUCCUUCUCUCCUUCUCUCUCUCUCUCUCUCUCUCUCUCUCUCUCUUUCUCUCUCUCUCUCUCUCUCUCUCUCUCUCUCUCUCUCUCUCUCUCUCUCUCUCAGUAUCUCUCUCCCAUAAAGAAUGGAUUAUAUUGAUACCUGAGUAGAGGUGAAGAAGGGUUUUUUUUUUAUCUUUAGUGAAGUUUAGUGACUGCUUUUGGUUUCUUGUUUCUUGUUUCAGGUAUUUGCUGGAAAUUUUAUGAAGUUCAUGGCAUAUUUUUUGUGCUGUUUAUAGGGCCAAUAAACCCUUUUCACCAUGUGAAGCUCAUGGUAAACAAUGGUACACAGUUGGAGAGCCUUUUCAAAGAGGAUUAUAUCAGGUCAGGUGCAUGUGAACCUUGAUUACCCUUGACAUAUGUUUAACCAUUCUGUUACUGCUAUUGAGGCAAAACUUAUUAGGGGCAAGGGCCAGAAAGGUCAACAAGGUUAAGACCCCUAACAUUUCAAGUACACAAUCCACUGUUUUGGACCAGUGAGUUUACCCUAGGCUUCUUGUGGUACAGAUGAUGAGGCACUGGCUUCCUUUCAUAUGACACAUGAGUCAGUCACAAGG